rnacentral:rRNA from 1 species
AGCUUGACGGUACCGUAAGAAUAAGGAUCGGCUAACUCCGUGCCAGCAGCCGCGGUAAUUCGGAGGAUCCAAGCGUUAUCCAGAAUCAUUGGGUUUAAAGGGUCUGUAGGCGGUCUUGUAAGUCAGUGGUGAAAGCCCAUCGCUCAACGGUGGAACGGCCAUUGAUACUGCUUGACUUGAAUUAUUUGGAAGCAACUAGAAUAUGUAGUGUAGCGGUGAAAUGCUUAGAGAUUACAUGGAAUACCAAUUGCGAAGGCAGGUUGCUACCAAUGGAUUGACGCUGAUGGACGAAAGCGUGGGUACCGAACAGGAUUAGAUACCCUGGUAGUCCACGCCGUAAACGAUGGUUACUAGCUGUUGGGCGCAAGUUCAGUGGCUAAGCGAAAGUGAUAAGUAUGCCACCUGGGGAGUACGAACGCAAGUUUGAAACUCACAGGAAUUGACGGGGGCCCGCACAAGCGGUGGAGCUUGUGGUUUAAUUCGAUGAUACGCGAGGAACCUUACCAAGGCUUAACUGCAGACUGACCGGUUUGGAAACAGACCUUUCGCAAGACGGUCUAC